rnacentral:rRNA from 1 species
CCUACGGGAGGCAGCAGCAAGGAAUUUCCCGCAAUGGGCGCAAGCCUGACGGAGCAACGCCGCGUGGGGGAGGACGCCCUUCGGGGUGUAAACCCCUUUUCUUGGGGACGAAAACACUGACGGUACCCGAGGAAGAAGGCCCGGCUAACUACGUGCCACCAGCCGCGGUAAUACGUAGGGGCCGAGCGUUGUCCGGAGUUACUGGGCGUAAAGCGCGCGCAGGCGGCGCACUUUGCCCGGCGUGAAAGCCCCCGGCUCAACCGGGGAGGGUCGUCGGGGACGGGUGCGCUUGAGGACUUUGGGGGCAGGUGGAAUUCCCGGUGUAGUGGUGAAAUGCGUAGAGAUCGGGAGGAAUUUACAAUCCUGAGCGAGCGGUUGUGUCGAUAUUGACCCUCACCUUAAAGAUGAUGGGAACCACUCGAUUAUAUACCCGGGUUGUCCACCCCUACACUAUCCGACCCAACGUGGUUGAAGUCGAUGUGAA